rnacentral:pre_miRNA from 9 species
UCUCGAUAGCGUAAAAGUUAACUCAAGUUUGUAUGGAGUUUGAACGUUUGCCCAUGUUUGCCGCUAGGGGCACUGUUCUAGCUGCAUACAAUUUUCAGGUAACUUUUACGUUAUCGA